GAUGUCGUGUUAUUACAUUGUAUAGUGUCGGAGAGUCAGAAUACGAUGGUUUUUCACACCGACGUCUGUACCGCGCCGUUCGGUAUAGACGAACAGAACAGAUGUACGUGACGAGCUGCUUAGCGUUUCCGAACCAAAUACCUAAAUAAUUGUUCCGAUGAUUCAGCGCGGUCACCAAUACGCGAUGUUCUGCGAUGGGACAGGGCGGCCUUGUUACGAAAAAGAAAAAUUCUAUUUUAUUCGCGUAAGUGCACGAGCC